rnacentral:ribozyme from 1 species
GGAAGGGGAAAAGGGAGGUAAAGUCUAAGUAGUGGGGCUGGGGUCGACGAGGAGUACUAGUGUCGAUCACAAACACCAAUA